rnacentral:lncRNA from 1 species
CACCAAGGGAACUGGAAAAUAUUGUGUUACGGAUUCUUCCCUGGAAAGCUGAGGUUUUUUGCUGCGGGGAAGUAUAGAAAUAAAAAUGAGAGAGGGUGUGUAAAUGACAGUUUUCGACUUACCUUGCUGAAUGGGUUGGUUGCUGGAAGUCAGGGCUAUGGGGAGAGCUCUAAGCAGCCAGCUGGAGGACAGGCAUCGCUUAUGACAAAAGAGCUGGAUUUGGAGGUGCCUAGCAGGAAGUUUUCCAAAGAGAUAGCAGAGCUCCAGGGGACCGUGAGUGAGCUGUGGACAUCUGCCAUGCCACAGGGCACCAAUGCCCUUUUACAAUCCCUCCACUCAAUAUCUAAGAAUGAUGGGCAAAGUGUGGGACCACAUCUGAUAUUUCACCCCAGAGUGGAGAAGAAGAGGACCAGAGAGCAUGUUGAAUGGGUAAGGAGAGAAAGAAUAAAAUGAUUCUGUCUGCCCACUGGCAAGUUUGGUUUAUUCGUUCAGCUGGUUAUAAGCAUCAUUAUUAUGAAGGUAUAUUUAUUGUUGCUUCAAUUGUAUUUUAUUCCAUUUUUUUUUGUUCAUAAAGUCAACUGAGAAUACAGGAGGAAAUGUAGAAAAAAGAGGAAGGCAAAAGAGACAUUUAUGGCUUAUUUUUGCUGGUGUUUUUAAUCCCCAAAAG